rnacentral:rRNA from 1 species
UACGUAGGGUGCAAGCGUUGCUCGGAAUCACUGGGCGUAAAGCGCACGUAGGCGGCUUUUUAAGUCAGGGGUGAAAUCCUGGAGCUCAACUCCAGAACUGCCUUUGAUACUGAGAAGCUUGAGUCCGGGAGAGGUGAGUGGAACUGCGAGUGUAGAGGUGAAAUUCGUAGAUAUUCGCAAGAACACCAGUGGCGAAGGCGGCUCACUGGCCCGGUACUGACGCUGAGGUGCGAAAGCGUGGGGAGCAAACAGGG